CUGGCCGUAAAUGCAGGGAAUCCAUGAUAAAUCCUAAGCAGUUAUACCUAAAUGCACUGGGUGGCGCUGUGGAGCGUGUUAACAAGUUGAAAGUAUUUGAUCACAGAAUGUCGUCAUCUGCCUCGCGAAGUUUGGAUUUACUUUGAUCUAAAUGAUCUUACUAAAUGAUCUGACAAGAUGUAAUUACUUCUGAUCAAAUGAAUGAGUGAAACUGAUUUAUCAUAAUAUCACCACCACAAUGAGAAAUCACAUGAAAUCCAAACACAGUCGACUGAGGAAAGACAGCUGUCCAUCACUGCAUUCACGACUGCAGAUAAAAGAAAAGAACACGCAACAUGAGACUGACAACGGCGACAGACGACAAGAAGAGACACAAGAGAUGCUAUUUUGAAGAACGUUGGGGCCCAAACAACAUAGGAAAAAACAUACAGUUUUAAUACAACAUAGGGUUCGACCAGCUGAAGGUGCUGAAAAAGCUGCCAAGAGAGUGUCGUCAGAGGGUUCUUGGACAGGUUUCUGUGCAAGGA